rnacentral:rRNA from 1 species
UACAGGGGGGGCAAGCGUUGUUCGGAAUUACUGGGCGUAAAGGGCUCGUAGGUGGCCGACUAAGACAGACGUGAAAUCCCUCAGCUUAACUGGGGAACUGCGUCUGAUACUGGAUGGCUUGAGUUCGGGAGAGGGAUGCGGAAUUCCAGGUGUAGCGGUGAAAUGCGUAGAUAUCUGGAGGAACACCGGUGGCGAAGGCGGCAUCCUGGACCGACACUGACACUGAGGAGCGAAAGCCAGGGGAGCAAACGGG